CUCAACUGAACUCAAAAGAUCAAAGGCUGAAGUUCAUAAACUCAAGCAGAAGUCACAACUGAUGUCUCAACAUCAGGGAACCAGGAUGAGUAACCAUCAGAAGAAGAAAUUUCAAAGAUGGAGAUGUCACUAUUGUGGUAGAUUUGGUCACAUAAAACUUUUCUGCUACAGGCUGCAUGGUUAUCCUAACCAGACUGCUCAAGUCAGACCUAAGCUGAAGGCAUCUACGUAU
rnacentral:lncRNA from 1 species